ACGCUCGACACCUACGGGGGGCAGCAGUGGGGAAUAUUGCACAAUGGGGGAAACCCUGAUGCAGCGAUGCCGCGUGAGUGAAGAAGUAUUUCGGUAUGUAAAGCUCUAUCAGCAGGGAAGAAGAUGACGGUACCUGAGUAAGAAGCCCCGGCUAACUACGUGCCAGCAGUCGCGGUAAUCUGAGCGGGCUGGCAAGGC
rnacentral:rRNA from 1 species